rnacentral:rRNA from 1 species
UACAGAGGUCUCAAGCGUUGUUCGGAUUCAUUGGGCGUAAAGAGCGUGUAGGCGGCCAGACAGGUCCGUUGUGAAAACUCGAGGCUCAACCUCGAGACGUCGGCGGAAACCAUCUGGCUAGAGUCCGGAAGAGGAGAAUGGAAUUCCCGGUGUAGCGGUGAAAUGCGCAGAUAUCGGGAAGAACACCCGUGGCGAAGGCGGUUCUCUGGGACGGUACUGACGCUGAGACGCGAAAGCGUGGGGAGCGAACAGG